rnacentral:lncRNA from 1 species
AGCCAUUUUUUUGGAUCUGUUGAGAUGACAAAGAUAUGUCAAUAUGAUAUAUGGAUGGAUCUCACACUGAUUAUAAGUGGGGAUUAGAUUUGAAUUGAAUUUCAAGAUUAGUUUGAAUUUAGUUUGGUCAUUGGUGAUUGAUUGUUGCAUAUGAAUUAUUUUUAGAUUUUUGAGUGAUAGGAGGAUAACCAUAUAUCAUCAAGGUGUAGAAUAUUUGAUUUGUGCAGAAGCGUUUGAAUUUGAGUUUGAGUUUUUACUUCUUGAAAUGAAUUUGGGAUUCUCUUGAGGUACCUAGUGUCCUCAAGAUUUGGGGCAUGGUUGGCAGUGUCCUCAGAGAACACUGGUGGGUGACUAUGAGGCCUUUUGCCUAAAAUCUGACUGGUUAGAUUAGAGAAGUGGUUGGUGUAUGGUCCAGAUGUGCAUAUGUGCACGUGGAGUACAUCACCACUUGAACACAUCAUUAUAAAUAAUAAAUCAUGCAAAAAUAUGGCAUAUUCAUGAACAAUCACAUAAGUACAACAUAGACAGUGUAUAUAACAUAGACAGUAUAUAAACCUUUAUAGAUAAUCAUGUGCAAGAAAAUCUUUAGUAGUACUAUCCUACACUUAGCCUUAACAUAUAUGCUCAGUACAUGAUGUGUGACAUGAAAUGUAUGUGUGGGGAGAGAUCCCUGUGAUUUAUUAGUGCCUUCACAGACAAAGGGUGCAUCGUGUGGCUGAGUCAAGACAUUAGGACUCGAAUUAAAUAUCAGUAUAGAGUAGCAUGCAAAGAAUGAGAGUCAUGCAUGCAGGAUGUAAACCAUAGUGCAUGUUUAAGAUGUCGAUGACAUAGCAUAAAUAUAUGGGUGGCAUGUGGGUGUGACAUGAUAUGAUAUAGAAAUAACUAUCCAGUAGAUCGCAAACUAGAGAUAGGCUAUUUC